UCCGGCUAACUUCGUGCCAGCAGCCGCGGUAAUACGAAGGGACCUAGCGUAGUUCGGAAUUACUGGGCUUAAAGAGCUCGUAGGUGGUUAGAAAAGUUAGUGGUGAAAUCCCAAGGCUUAACCUUGGAACUGCCACUAAAACUUUUUGACUAGAGUAUGAUAGAGGAAAGUGGAAUUUCUAGUGUAGAGGUGAAAUUCGUAGAUAUUAGAAAGAACACCGAAUGCGAAGGCAACUUUCUGGAUCAUUACUGACACUGAGGAGCGAAAGCAUGGGUAGCGAAGAGGAUUAGAUACCCUCGUAGUCCAUGCCGUAAACGAUGUGUGCUAGACGUUGGAAACUUAGUUUUCAGUGUCGCAGCAAAAGCGUUAAGCACACCGCCUGGGGAGUACGACCGCAAGGUUAAAACUCAAAUGAAUUGACGGGGACCCGCACAAGUAGUGGAGCAUGUGGUUUAAUUCGAAGAUACGCGCAGAACCUUACCAACACUUGACAUGUUCGUCGCGACUCUAAGAGAUUAGAGUUUUCGGUUCGGCCGGACGAAACACAGGUGCUGCAUGGCUGUCGUCAGCUCGUGUCGUGAGAUGUUGGGUUAAGUCCCGCAACGAGCGCAACCCUUACUUUUAGUUGCUACCAUUUAGUUGGGCACUCUAAAAGAACUGCCGGUGAUAAGCUGGAGGAAGGUGGGGAUGACGUCAAGUCCUCAUGGCCCUUACGUGUUGGGCUACACACGUGUUACAAUGGUACUCACAGUGAGAAGCAAAGAUGCGAGUCUAAGCCAAUCCCUAAAAAGUACCUCAGUUCGGAUUGCACUCUGCAACUCGAGUGCAUGAAGCUGGAAUUACUAGUAAUCGCGGAUCAGCGCGCCGCGGUGAAUACGUUCCCGGGUCUUGUACACACCGCCCGUCACACCAUGGAAGUUGGUUACACCUUAAGGCAAAGCAUAAAAC
rnacentral:rRNA from 1 species